rnacentral:rRNA from 1 species
UCGACUAAAAUUUAUGAAAAUAUCUAUACACGAAGUUAAAGGAGCUAGUUAUUAUAUAUUUAUAGAUUCAUGGGAUGUUGCAAAAUUGUUAAGUAAUAAUUAGGGGUGAUAGGCUUACCACAUUUAACGAUAGCUUGAAGGUCGAGAAAUGUACUAGUACGGAGACACUCUUUAAGUGAUAAGGUUUAAAGGGAUAACAAAAAGAAUUGAUUUGUAAAAGUAUCAUAUUUAACCAUAAAUAAAUAAUAAAAUUUAAUAUUAAUUUAUGAAAGUUGUUUAAGUUAGGGACCAAUUUUCCUAAUUCAACGUGAAUCUAUAAUGUUUAUAUUAGUAAUUAAGAAGUAUUUAUAACGAAUUCGGCAAUAAGUCUUUCAACUGUUUAUCAAAAACAUAGCCAUAUGGAAAAAUAUAUGGUAAUUUCUGCUCAAUGAAUAUUAAAUAGCCGCAGUACCCUGACUGUGCUAAGGUAGCGCAAUCAAUUGACUUUUAAUUGAAGUCCCGUAUGAAAGAAACUAUGGAGGGCUACUUUUUCCUAAAUAAUUAUUGAACUUACUUAAAAAGUGCAAAUUCUUUUAUAUUAAAUAAAAGACGAGAAGACCCUAGAAAUUUUGAGGAGUGAACUUUUUGUUGGGGCAACAAAGUAGUAAUUAAUCUACUAUAACAACACGAAAAGAAUAUUUAGCAAGAUUAAAUUACUCUAGGGAUAACAGCAUAAUUUUAAAAAGUUUGUGACCUCGAUGUUGGAUUAGGGAAUUUACAUUUAGAAG